UGAGGAAUAUUGGUCAAUGGGCGGAAGCCUGAACCAGCCAAGUAGCGUGCAGGAAGACGGCCCUAUGGGUUGUAAACUGCUUUUAUACAAGAAUAAUUUGAUGCACGUGUGCGUUAUUGCAUGUAUCGUAUGAAUAAGGACCGGCUAAUUCCGUGCCAGCAGCCGCGGUAAUACGGAAGGUCCAGGCGUUAUCCGGAUUUAUUGGGUUUAAAGGGAGUGUAGGCGGUUUGUUAAGCGUGUUGUGAAAUUUAGAUGCUCAACAUUUAACUUGCAGCGCGAACUGUCAGACUUGAGUACACGCAACGUAUGCGGAAUUCAUGGUGUAGCGGUGAAAUGCUUAGAUAUCAUGAAGAACUCCGAUUGCGAAGGCAGCAUACGGGAGUGUAACUGACGCUUAAGCUCGAAGGUGCGGGUAUCGAACAGGAUUAGAUACCCUGGUAGUCCGCACAGUAAACGAUGGAUGCCCGCUGUUAGCGCCUGGCGUUAGCGGCUAAGCGAAAGCAUUAAGCAUCCCACCUGGGGAGUACGCCGGCAACGGUG
rnacentral:rRNA from 1 species